UAAUUGUUUAAUCUUAGCAAUGUUCGAACGUUCUCUGGUGGUUUUACUCAUGCGAGUCGAUGUUGUUCUUCAAGGACGCAUGGGCGUGCAGGCGAAGAUGCAAAGAAUAGAUACCUUUGAAAUAAGAUUCAUUCUUUGUUCUGUAGGUAGUUGUUGUGGUAAAGGCGCAACAAGCCGUUAACAGAUAGAAAAGAGCGAAAGCUUCAAUUUCCGCAAUUGGUUUUAAUAGACCGAUGGAUCAGUUUCCUGAUUGCUGCAGAGGAGAAUAUUGGGCAAUGCUCGAAAGAGUGACCCAGCCAACCAGAACUCGAAAUAUAGUAGAGUGUUGUAAGGGAGGAUAAUGACGUUACCUUACUAAAAGUCCAAUCUAAGUCUCGUGCCAGCAGACGCGGUUAUACGAACUGGGCGAACGUUGAAUAAAUUAAUAGGUUUUAAGGAUCUGUAGGCGGUUAUGAAUAUAUAACUAGAAUUCUAUGGAGGAAAAUGGAAUAUCAGGAGUAAAGAUGAUAUUUUAGGAUUUCUGGUGGAAUACCAAUGGCGAAAGCAAUUUUCCAAGUAUGAAUUGACGCUGAGAGAUGAAAGUUUGGGGAGCGAACCAGAUUAGCUACCUGAGUAGUCCAGACUGUAAACUAUUUACACUAGUCCUUUGGUUAUAUAUGCAAAUAUAGAAAAAGAAUCAGAGGGAAAGCGAAAGGCUGUAUGUGUAACACCUUGUGAGUACUAUCGCAAGAUUGAAAGCAAAAAGAUUAGCCAUCCUUAAGAACCGGUGUGGAGCAUGUUGUUUAAUACGUCAAUACGCGUAGAACCUUACCUCUCCUUGAAUGUUAAAUAGAAUAUAGAAUUUAUUUCUAUAAAUAUAUUUAUCACAGGCGUUGCAUGGCUGUCGGCAGUUCGUGUCGUAAGAUGUUAGGUUAAGUCCGCUAACGAACGCAAUCCAUAGUAAGAAUCAAUUCUUCUUCCUGUCCAUUUGAUAUAAGUGGCUAAUAUGGAAUACGAUAAGUCGUCAUGAUCCUUAUGGAGUAUGGGCAACAGACGUGCUACUAGAAUCUAACAAAAAGAUGCGAAAUCGUAAGAUGGAGCCAAUCUAGAAAACAAGAUUAAAUAAGGAUUGUAGACUGAAACUCGUCUACAUGAAUCAGGAAUACCGAGUAAUCGUUUAUCAGUACGGAACGGUGAACAACUCAUUAAGGAGAUACUAACUGUCUAUCACAUCUUGGUUUUGUCUGAAUAUGGAACUUAGUAUUCUAUACUAGGGACGUUUAGGAUCGAACUGAGGUGAAGUUAUAGCAAGGUAGCCGUAAGGGAACUUGCGGCUG
rnacentral:rRNA from 1 species